CCGCCCUCUCGAACCGCCCCGCCAAACCGGUUCCAGCUGGAACGCAAUGCGUGGUCUGUACGGGAGUUGGAGUGGCCGUCCGUCCCUGCGGGCUCACCCUGGUGGCGACGCCUCGCUGUAGCAGAUGGUGGCAGAGUGUCAUAAGGGGCAGUGUCCUUUUCUUAACUCGGCACAAAAGUACUACAUGGACCAGCUGCAGCUCUGGCCAGAAGCCUGGCGAUCUGGUGGCUCCGGCUUUCCUAGGUGGCAGGAUCAAGAUGUAAAACUCUCAACUACUUCUGCCACACCAUGCCUACCUGCCUGCUGCCACGCUCCCCACCAUGAUGAUCUUGGACUAAGCCUCUGAAACUAAGCCAGCCUCCAGUUCCAUGCUUUCCUUUAUAAGAGUCACCUUGAGCCAGGUGGGGCCAGUGCUGCACGCCUUUAUUCCUAGCACUCAGAGGCAAAGGCAGGUGGACCUCUGUGAGUUUGAGGCCAAGAUGGUUUAUAGAGCUAGUUUCAGGACAACCAGGACUACACAAAGAAACCCUGUCUCACCCUCCA
ensembl:processed_transcript 4930405A21Rik RIKEN cDNA 4930405A21 gene